GUGCGCGGAGAUGCAAAAGAUUCUAAUACUGACACAUCUGCUUCGUCGACUACCCCGAUGGGAACUAAUUCCAGUGGAUCUGGUUCAACUCCGACAGAAACUGCUGAUGGUGCAUCUAGUUCGUCGACCCCACCGUCUGGAGACUCCUACGAGGUGUUUUUGAGCUUUAGCGGUCGAGAUACUCGACAUGGCUUCACCGAUCACCUAUAUCAUGGGCUUGUCGAUGCUAGGAUCCAUACUUUCAGAGACAAUGAGAAGCUCGGCUGAGGCAAGAAGAUCGGCGAUGAUCUUUUUGCGGCCAUCAAGAACAGUAAGAUCCUAAUCCCCAUUCUCUCCGUGAAUUAUGGUACGAGCAGUUGGUGCUUGAAUGAAUUGGUUCAAAUAAUAGAGUGCAAGAAAAAUAACAAGGAUACUAUAGUGUUGCCUAUAUUGUACAAAGUGGAACCAUCUGACGUGGGACAUCUACUCGGGAGUUUUGGAGAUGAAUUUCGUAAGCGUGAGAAGCGUUUGUGUAAAAGGAAGGGUUUCGACUCAACGAUAUUGAAGAAAUGGAAGGAAGCACUCGAGGAAGUCAGCUCCUUGAAAGGACACAACGCCACAGGGCCUGAAGGAGAAUUGGUGAAAUCGAUUGUUCGAGAAGUCUUGAGAGAGCUGAUUACAAAGUUUGAGUUGGCUAUUCCCGAGAAUUUGAUCGGAAUUGAUAGUUAUGUGAAGGAUAUUAUGAAAUUUGUAGCUAAUAAUUCUCGUGCCACCCUAUUUGUUGGAAUCCAUGGAAUGGGAGGCAUUGGUAAGACAACUCUUGCUAAAACCAUGUAUAACUAGCUCUUGAAUCAAUUUGAGUAUCAUAGCUUCAUUGCUGAUGUUAGGGGAAAAUAUAAGAAUGGCGUUGAACAAUUGCAGAAUAAGUUAAUCCAUGAUAUCUUGAAGAAUGAAAGUCUAGUUCAUGAUAAGGAUAAAGGGAUUAAGCUCCUCUCAUCCAAAUUUGAUGGCAAGAAAGUGCUGAUACUCCUUGAUGACGUGGGUGCUGAUGAUCACUUGAAGGAUUUGGCCGGAAGUCAUGAUUGGUUUUCUUCGGGAAGUGUCAUAAUUAUUACCACCAGAGAUGAGAGUAUUCUUGACAAAGCACAUGUGGACUACAAACAUGACCACCGGGUUCCGGAUAAGGAUAGUUCUUUGAUUCUAUUUAGUAGACAUGCCUUUCGAAAGGACGCUCCUCCAAGUGAAUUUCGGAUACUCACCGAUGAAGUUGUGUCCACCACCGGAAGGCUUCCCUUAUCUGUUAAAGUUUUAGGUUCAUUUUUGUGCGAUAAACCGCGAGGAGUAUGGGAAGAUACGAUAAAAUAGUUAAGAAAUGUCCCAGAUAAGGAAGUGCAAAAAACGCUAAGGAUAACGUAUGAUGCAUUGGAGGAUGAACAACAACAUAUAUUUUUGGAUAUCGCUUGUUUUUUUAUUGGCACUGAUUUGAGAAUAGCAUCCUACAUGUGGGACGCUUGCGGCUUUUACCCAAAGAAGGGGAUUGUAGUAUUGAGAUUAAUGUCGUUAAUCAAAGUUGGAGAGAAUCAUGAGCUCAGAAUGCAUGAUCAAUUACGAGAUCUUGGUCGGGAAAUCGUCCGCCAGGAAGACAAGAAGAAGCCUUGGAAUCGCAGCUGGUUAUGGGACUCCAAGGAAGUCAUGGAAGUGCUAGAGGAAGAUGAGGGAACAAGAAAGAUUGAGGCCAUUUCUUGCUCAAAAUUCUCUUCUCAUCAAGAUGACAAUAUCCUCACCGGCGAACAAUUCAAGGAAUUAA